UACGUAGGGUGCAAGCGUUAUCCGGAAUUAUUGGGCGUAAAGAGCUCGUAGGCGGUUUGUCGCGUCUGCUGUGAAAACUGGAGGCUCAACCUCCAGCCUGCAGUGGGUACGGGCAAACUAGAGUGCGGUAGGGGAGAUUGGAAUUCCUGGUGUAGCGGUGGAAUGCGCAGAUAUCAGGAGGAACACCGAUGGCGAAGGCAGAUCUCUGGGCAUUAACUGACGCUGAGGAGCGAAAGCAUGGGGAGCGAACAGG
rnacentral:rRNA from 1 species